rnacentral:rRNA from 1 species
UGGGGAAUAUUGGACAAUGGGGGAAACCCUGAUCCAGCGACGCCGCGUGGGUGAAGAAGGCCUGCGGGUUGUAAAGCCCUUUCGGUUGGGAAGAAAAGUUGCGACCUAACACGUCGCGACCUUGACGUAACCAACUAAAGAAGCACCGGCUGACUCUGUGCCAGCAGCCGCGGUAAUACAGAGGGUGCGAGCGUUAAUCGGAAUUACUGGGCGUAAAGCGCGCGUAGGCGGCUUGGCAAGUCGGGUGUGAAAUCCCCGGGCUCAACCUGGGAACUGCAUUCGAGACUGCUUUGCUAGAGUAUGGGAGAGGGAAGUGGAAUUUCCGGUGUAGCGGUGAAAUGCGUAGAUAUCGGAAGGAACAUCAGUGGCGAAAGCGACUUCCUGGACCAAUACUGACGCUCAUGUGCGAAAGCGUGGGGAGCAAACA